rnacentral:rRNA from 1 species
GACGAACGCUGGCGGCGUGCCUAAUACAUGCAAGUAGGACGCAGUUGCGAACGUGAGAGUAACUCGUAGGUAACUACCUAUUAGAGGGGGAUAACUAUUGGCAACGAUAGCCAAUACCGCAUACUAGUAUAUGGACCUGCGUUGUAUUAGCUUGUAGGUAGGGUAAUGCCUACCAAGGCAACGAUACAUAGCCGACCUGAGAGGGUGAUCGGCCACACUGGGACUGAGACACGGCACAGACGCCGACGGGAGGCAGCAGUGGGGAAGCGUCGGCAAUGGGGGGAACCCUGACCGAGCAACGCCGCGUGAGUGAAGAAGGGUUUCGGAUCGUAAAGCUCUGUUGUUAAGGAAGCGGUACUUAACCAGAAAGGGACGGCUAACUACGUGCCAGCAGCCGCGGUAAUAC